rnacentral:rRNA from 1 species
AGCGGAUGGAAGUGCUAGUCUAAGGUCGUAGGAGGUUAUACAGGCAAAUCCGUAUAACAAUACUCCGAGAACUGAAAGGCUUUUUGAAGUCUUCGGAUGGAUAGAAGAACCCCUGAUGCCGUCGAGCCAAGAAAAGUUUCUAAGUUUAGCUAAUGUUGCCCGUACCGUAAACCGACACAGGUGGGUGGGAUGAGUAUUCUAAGGCGCGUGGAAGAACUCUCUUUAAGGAACUCUGCAAAAUAGCACCGUAUCUUCGGUAUAAGGUGUGGUUCGCUUCGUAUUAGGAUUUACUCCGAAAGCGAAGAAACUUACAACAAAGAGUCCCUCCCGACUGUUUACCAAAAACACAGCACUCUGCUAACUCGUAAGAGGAUGUAUAGGGUGUGACGCCUGCCCGGUGCUCGAAGGUUAAUUGAUGGGGUUAGCAUUAGCGAAGCUCUUGAUCGAAGCCCGAGUAAACGGCGGCCGUAACUAUAACGGUCCUAAGGUAGCGAAAUUCCUUGUCGGUUAAAUACCGACCUGCAUGAAUGGCGUAACGAGAUGGGAGCUGUCUCAAAGAGGGAUCCAGUGAAAUUGUAGUGGAGGUGAAAAUUCCUCCUACCCGCGGCAAGACGGAAAGACCCCGUGGACCUUUACUACAGCUUGACACUGCUAUUUGGAUAAGAAUGUGCAGGAUAGGUGGGAGGCUUUGAGUAUAUGACGCCAGUUGUAUAUGAGCCAUUGUUGAGAUACCACUCUUUCUUAUUUGGGUAGCUAACCAGCUUGAGUUAUCCUCAAGUGGGACAAUGUCUGGUGGGUAGUUUGACUGGGGCGGUCGCCUCCCAAAUAAUAACGGAGGCUUACAAAGGUUGGCUCAGAACGGUUGGAAAUCGUUCGUAGAGUAUAAAGGUAUAAGCCAGCUUAACUGCAAGACAUACAAGUCAAGCAGAGACGAAAGUCGGUCUUAGUGAUCCGGUGGUUCUGUGUGGAAGGGCCAUCGCUCAAAGGAUAAAAGGUACCCCGGGGAUAACAGGCUGAUCUCCCCCAAGAGCUCACAUCGACGGGGAGGUUUGGCACCUCGAUGUCGGCUCAUCGCAUCCUGGGGCUGGAGCAGGUCCCAAGGGUAUGGCUGUUCGCCAUUUAAAGCGGUACGCGAGCUGGGUUCAGAACGUCGUGAGACAGUUCGGUCCCUAUCUGCCGUGGGCGUAAGAAGAUUGAAGAGAUUUGACCCUAGUACGAGAGGACCGGGUUGAACAAACCACUGGUGUAGCUGUUGUUCUGCCAAGAGCAUCGCAGCGUAGCUAAGUUUGGAAAGGAUAAACGCUGAAAGCAUCUAAGCGUGAAGCCAACUCUAAGAUGAAUCUUCUCUAAGCUCUCUAGAAGACUACUAGUUUGAUAGGCUGGGUGUGUAAUGGAUGAAAGUCCUUUAGCUGACCAGUACUAAUAGAGCGUUUGGCUUAUCUUUAAUAAAGCAU